rnacentral:rRNA from 1 species
UACGUAGGUGGCAAGCGUUGUCCGGAUUUACUGGGCGUAAAGAGCGCGCAGGCGGUCGUUCAAGUCGCGUGUGAAAGCCCCCGGCUCAACUGGGGAGGGUCACGCGAUACUGAUCGACUCGAAGGCAGGAGAGGGAAGUGGAAUUCCCGGUGUAGUGGUGAAAUGCGUAGAUAUCGGGAGGAACACCAAUUGCGAAGGCAGCUCGCUGGGACGUUACUGACGCUGAGACGCGAAAGCGUGGGGAGCAAACAGG